UCCCUGGUGCACAGUGACACAAAAGUGCCUCAGCCUUCUCCAACUGCAGCCAGCCAGACAUCACUUUCCUGUUAGAAAGGCAUAGUAUUGCAUGAUAAAACAAACACAAAAAAGACAAAAAGGAGCUGCUCUCAUCCUCAUGUAUGACACUGAGAAGGUAUUAGCUUGGGAUUUAUCCAAGUGGCCUUCCAUGCACCGCUGGACAGCGGUGUUCUAGGUCUUCAAGGUGGUACGGUAGUUGUGGUAGUAACAAUGGUUUAUGGGCAAAUAAAUUCCUGAAAAUGUUUUGAAGCUGGGAGAAUUUGCUGAUGGCUACUCCAAGGCAUCAACCCAUGCAGUUAGUUACUUUACUAAGGAAACAUUUCACUGUUUUCAGAAGAUGAGUUUCAUCUUCAAAAUAUCUCUUCAGCUUCAGGUUCAAAUCCCCCACUAAUGCAGGAGAGCACACAUCUCAGCUGAAAUGAACAGGACUCCAUCCCCUUCCCUCUUCAGUAAAUUAAUACUGCUUAUCCCUUUUCACCUGAUCUGUUCAGCACAAAGAGUCAAAUUAUACUGUCAGCAUUUGAAGAAAAAGGCCUGUUUAGUUUUCAAGGCAACAAAAUACAGGGAGAGGAAAGAGGUAUUUGUGUUUAGCUUCCUUCAAUGAGUGGUUACACUGUUAAAUGUCAUGCUGUGCUUACUCUGCUUGCAUCUACUCACCUGAGCAGGAUCAACUAUCUAGGAUGAUAGUUUUAUCUGGAUAUUUUCAAGACCAAGUUGGAGGGUAAUUCAGAAGCCAGUUUUGAAAACAGUCGCGCAUCCGAUAAUAUGACAACAAAAAAGAAGAAUGGCUCCUUAAUUCUUUGCUCUACUGUGACAAGAGCUUAGCUGGUUUUUGCAUCUAGCUAACGGAAUGCUAAUUUCAAGGAGGUAAGCAUAUCCUGAUUCAGUUUGUCACCUACCUGUAUUCUAAACCUGGGCAAGCCUGGCUCAGUAUCACGCAACACCAACUGGUAUUGAGGUGAAUACCAACACACUAGAGGUUAUUUGGUUGGGAAAAUGUGGGUAAACAGCAGUGUUCCCUCAUGGAUUCUCACAGGUCUUAACUCCAUGCGCUUUGGGUCUCUGCUGCUGGAGGCCCUUGUGAGCUGUUCAGCCCAUCUGUCUUCACCUUCCAGGUCUCAGCUGAAACUGCAGAGCUGAAGCGGACUCUGGGCAGCUGAGAAGGAGACCUGGAUGUUCCUGAAGACAUCUCUGCAGGGGCUGGUAACCAGUAAUCCAGGCACACAGGAGACAUGGACCCUGGGUCUUCAUUUCAGGGGAGCCAAGACCAGAAGACCAGUUAUUAGGGUCACCAUUAAUACCCUUAUUUAAUACCCUUAACUUACCUGACGCAAGUUGAGUCGUUCUGCAAGAUUUAUACCUCCUGCUCUCCACAGGCACCUCUUGCCUCUUUUUGCUUGGCCUCUGCACAGUCUGAGGCCUUUACUUACCACAGCAAUCACAAUGUACCUGUUUCUGUUCAGCAUGCUACUGUGUGAGCCUUUGUAAAAGCAGAACUUUUAAGGUGUCUUUUAACUAACUCAGUUUAAACGGCACAUAUUAAACAUUGCUUAUCAUUUACUGACCACAUAGGAACACUCAACAUUUGCACAAACUACAUUAAAAAUAUUUGACAAAGUCAUACAAAA